GGGGGUGUAGUUCAGUGGUAGAGUGCUUGCCUAGUGUUCAUGAGGCCCUGGGUUCAAUCCCCAUUACCACCA
rnacentral:tRNA from 1 species